UUGGAGUUGAAGGAAGGAACGAUGAAAAUCGAUCGGCGCUCGUUAGAAUCCGAUGGAGGGAGCUUCGUUUCCGUGUCGAGGAGAGAGCGAUAUACGAGAUGAUUCGAUGUCAAUAGGAGGAGGAGGAGGGACGAGUUUAAGCGCGAUAACCGGAUAUAUUUCAUCUCGACAUUCAUUGCACGUAACUGCGCUCUUUAUUCGGCUGGUAUCGGCGAAUCGCCCAUCCACACCGUGGAUAUUAUCCGCAGUCGAGCCGGCCGCGUAACGA